UACGUAGGGGGCGAGCGUUGUCCGGAUUUAUUGGGCGUAAAGAGCUCGUAGGCGGUUCGGUAAGUCGGAUGUGAAAUCUCCACGCUCAACGUGGAGGGGCCAUUCGAUACUGCCGUGACUCGAGUCCGGUAGGGGAGUGUGGAAUUCCCGGUGUAGCGGUGAAAUGCGCAGAGAUCGGGAGGAACACCCGUAGCGAAGGCGGCACUCUGGGCCGGUACUGACGCUGGGGAGCGAAAGCGUGGGGAGCGAACAGG
rnacentral:rRNA from 1 species